GAAAAUCUUUAACUAGAGCCUCUCUCAGUAACCAACAGAAAACUGACUCAAACCCCCUCCACACUCCUUCCCCCAAAUCAGAAGAUAUGAGAGAUUUAAACAACCUCACAAACUUGACCCAGAGGCCAUGAAGAAUGCUUUAAGGAACAACAUCAGAAUACACUUUCUCUUUUUUUCUUUUCCAGCAUCUACAGGCACGAAAAAACACUGAUCCUAGAGUGAAGAUGAAUGCAGCCCAGAAGAGAGCCACAGUUGACUCAAAGCCAACACCUAAGAUGAGUGAGAACUACUUUGUUGCAAUGAGCCACAGAUAUUUGAGGAUGCUGACGGAUGAGGAGUACUCUAGAACCUGUGGAUACAGAGGGCCAACUGUAUAUACAAAUUCAGUAAGUAUUUCAGCCAGGACAAAAAAGGGAGACCAGAUCUGUACAAAAGACAGAAAAACUAAUUGGGU
rnacentral:lncRNA from 1 species